AUGACGUGGGGGAACCCCUUCCUGCCCGCCACCUUUUUUUUGGGGGGGGGGACACGGGGUGAGGAGGGGGACACGGUGAGGAAGGGGACAGGGUGGGUGCCCAGGGGGAUGUUGCACCCCACCACGCGCAGCCAGCCCCACCGAUGGCACCCCCAGCAUGGGGAUGUGGGGGGGGACACACACAGGGUUGGACCCCCCCCCAAGCAUCCAUCCAUCACCCCCCCCCUCCCCCCGACCCCAAAUAAAUCCCCGCAGCUCGGCGCUGGCGCCAGGCUGGGACCCCGCAGCGGCUGGGGGCUCCCCCUGCGCCUCCCCGGAGCCGCGCUCGCUCCAGACAUAACAACCCCCCCGCGCCCCCCCCCUGCUGCAGGCUGCCAGACAGUGACUCAUCCCCGCAAGGGGGGCAGCGCCGCCGGGGGACGGGGAUGCCGGAGAAAAGGGGUUGGGGAGGGGGGGACGGGACAGUGGGUGGGGGGCAAAGCAGCCCCCUGUGAUGCUCUGCCCUGCUGGGGGGGGGGGCUGCUCUGCCUGCCCCCUCCCCCCCCCCCCCACAGCCACGUGUGGUUCAGCAGGGAUGCUGAAACCAGCGCGGAGCCAGGCAGGGAGCUGUGGGGUGGGGAUUGUGGGGACCCCCCCUGCGCACCCCUCUGCUCGGGGGGGGUCCUCUGGUGGGUCUCCCCCUGCCCCCGUGCCUGCCCCCCUCCCCACCUUGUCCCUGUCUUCCAGCUUGGGGGGGGGGUGCUGGGGUCUCAGGGGACUGGCAGCCAGGUAGCCAAAGCUUGGGGUGGGUUGUGGGGUCUUGGGGGGCUCUGGGGUACCCCAAAGCCCAGGACCCCCCAGCUUGGGGAUCAGCACAGGGACAGCAUGGGCCAAAAGCUGGGGAUUGCUGUGGGGUCUGCAGGGCACCGGGAUACCCCAGUCCCUCCAGACUGGGGACACCUCGCGUGCUGGGGGCUCACGGGGCACCGGGACCCCAGGUCCCCAAAGCUUGGGGAGGGCCGUGGGGUUUGGGGGGAGGGUUAUGGAGCAUCAGCUCCCCCCAGCUUGAGGACAGCUUGCACGGGGGAGCAUUCAUGGGGCACCAGGACCCCCAGGACCCCCAGCUCGGGGAUGUUUGGAGGGUCUUGGGAUCACCCAGGUCCUUUGGGGAGGCCGUGGGGUGCCCGGGGUGGGGGUUACCUGGAGCCGCCCGUCCAAGGUGCGCUGGAUGGUGACGCACUUGCUGGGGUGGGCGCCGUUGGUGGUGAUGGCGGCGAUGAGCGAGUCGAGCUCGUCCUUCUUCUCCUUCAGCUUCUUCACCAGGCUCUCGAUGGCCCGCUUGGCGAAGGUCUCGUUCUCCCCGCCCUGCCGGUGGCACAUCAGGCUGUGCACGAUGCUCAGGCAGGCGUCGCUGCUGGUGGGCGCGCCGAGGGACAUGGCGCCGCUCCCCUGCAAGGCACGGCACGGCACGGCCCUGCCCGUCACCCCCGCGGCAGGGGUCCCGCCGGCCCCCCUGCCCUCGCCUGCGCGCCCACCGCGGCACGGGGCCGCUCAGCAUCGUGGCAGCGCCGCGCCGGUGCCCACAGGGGGGGGGCUGGAGGUGGGGAGAGGAGGGGGAUUAUUCGGCCCCCCUGCGGCACCGGGGACGCGGUGGCACCUGGAAAGGGCACGUGGCGGGCGAGGAGGAGGUGGCACAGAGCCAUGCGUCACCUCGAAUUGGGGGGGGACCAGCUUGGAUGCGUGGCUUCCACGGUCCCUAUCCGGGGUGGGAAGAGGCCACAGGGGUAA
rnacentral:lncRNA from 1 species